rnacentral:misc_RNA from 1 species
AAGUCGUAACAAGGUUUCCGUAGGUGAACCUGCGGAAGGAUCAUUAACGAGUUAGGGUCUUCUAGGCCCGACCUCCCAACCCUUUGUUUAUCGAACCUCUGUUGCUUCGGCGGACCCGUCUCACGACCGCCGGAGGACCGCUGAAAGGCGUCCUCUGGCCCGCGUCCGCCGAUAGCCAAACAAUUAACAUUCUGAAUGAAUCGUGUCUUCUGUCUAAGUCUAUGAUUAAAUAAAAAGCAAAACUUUCAACAACGGAUCUCUUGGUUCUG